UUUCGACGAGCUCUAUUUAGAUGGAGAGAGUGGAGUCAGUGUCGAUCAGAUCUUGGAUUUGGACGAUGGCAGGGUGACAGGAGAAAAGAGCCAUGAGCUUGGGCUCGUUGUCGAUGCAGGCGCGGUCAAGAUCGUCGGCGAGAGAGGACUUGUCGAUGGUUUUACCGGCGAAGAAAUUGCCGGUGGACGGAGCAUGUGUCGAAGCGUCCAAGGUCGAUCUCCUCACAGAUCUGGAUUUUGAUUCCCACCGCGUCAGAGGCCAAAGAUCCUCACUCAUUUGACUACGCUCCUUACCCUAAGCUCGAUCAAUGCUCCCUGCAUGUUAUAUCCUCAAAGAAAAAGAGGAAGACGGUGAAGAGAACUCGAAGAAUAGAAGGUAAUUCCUUUGUCAUACAAUCGUUUGGUCUACUUCUAUGUUCUUUUUGUUGGAUUUUGUUUGUACAUCAGAUGAAGGUAAUAUUCAUAGGAAAGAAUUUGAGAAAGACGGAGUUGCAUAAUAUGCAUCAUCUCAAUUCAAAACAAAUGGGUAUCUCUUUUUUCAUUAUCAUAUUUUCAUAUAUUUUGUGUUUUGUUAUGCCUUUUUGGUUGAUAAUUUAUUUAUAUGAUUUUUUCAAAUAUAAGCUGAUCUACUUCAGGUACUAGGAGAGUUUGAAAUCGAUUUUGAUCGAGAUCAGGAUGGUUAGAUAUAUGCUUUAGGUUUUUGUGUUCAGUUUGAUAUCUCCUAUUGUAAUAUGGAUUUUAUUAUACUGACACAUAUACAUGAAAUAGAAAAUGUUCGGUGGCAAAACAACGUGAUAGAUACCGGAUAUGGCAAUAACUAUAAUCAAGACAACAGAGAAGUAAAAACGAAAACAAGCCAGAAAAACCAAGAGAUGGUUUUCGAGAUGAAUUCCACAACGAAGGGCAUCAAUGUAGUGUGUGUACAUUCAAUACUAGCUUUAGCUAAAUAAAUCAUAAGCAUCAUGUAAUUAUUUCCCUUUUUAUUUCAAGAAGAAGAAGAAUACGUAGUAAGAGCGUGCCAGAUCUUUAGGUUCAUUGUAGUUAUCUACAUUUUAAAAAAAUCUUUAAAGUAUAAGGCAAAGAAGAGCAAAAAGAAGACAAGAAAGGAGAAGGAUACAAUUAUUAAGAUGAAGGUAAUUCUUAAGUCAUCUAAGUGUUUUUUCAAUUUGUUUAUUGUCCUCUGAGUAGUGUUUGUUAUUUUGUUUUAAAUAAAUCAUCAUUGUUAUCUGAUUUUUUGUUUAGCUUUCCAA